rnacentral:tRNA from 1 species
GGCCCCAUGGUGUAAUGGUUAGCACUCUGGACUCUGAAUCCAGAAAAAAAGUGUUUUUGUCUCCA